UUUCAGUAUGGCCUUUAAUUUUGUAGGAUUCAUUUUACCGUGGCUUAACUGCUGAAGAAUCUGCAAGUGCUUAGGACUACAACUUUGAUCAUCCUGGUAUUUCACUUUUCAUGUUGAUUGGAAGUAUGCUACCUUUGUUAGUGAUCAGAGAACGAGUUGUCUAUUGUUUCGUGUGUAUUUGAUGAAAUCUCUGAUGAUGUGCCAUGUCUCCAGGUCUGGAGACCAACCAGGACAAGAGCAAGUGCCAGCAGCAGUUCGACAACUACAAGGAGUGCAAGAAGAGAGAGGUUCACCUUUGUUUCCCCAAUUCUCUCUAGC
rnacentral:lncRNA from 1 species